GCUCAUUCAAUGUCUGGAGCAAGCUUUCUGCACUCCACUGCCGGUGCUUUCUGGCUUCAAAAGCAGCUUCGAGACUGAGGAAUAGUAGACAGGAUUAGAAUAAGGCCCGGGAGUUCUACAACUCUGCUGAAUUCAAAAGGACCAUGAUCUUGGUCAGCUAAACCACACCCGAUGGCCAAGGGGCAGAGGAAAAGAUGGCAGAGUAGAGACUCUUGGACUUACUCAUUUGGAUUUUGGAGUUUUACCUGACUUGGUCAAGCCUCAUGCCAGAUCCAGAUUGUGCCUGCUUCCCUUUCACCUUCCAUCAUGAUUGUAAGUUUCCUGAGGCCUCCCCAGCCAGGAUUCCUGUACAGCCUGUGGAACCAUGAGCCAGGUAAAAAUGGUGCUACCCUUGGAAAUCCAAGAGCAGCUUCAAGAGUCAACUAUACCAGCAAUCCCUAAAGCUGGAGAAUUUAUGCCCAUGGAAAAGUCUGUAGCGUUUUGCAAACUGUGAGGCUGAGGAAUAGACCUAGUUCCUGCAGCAGAUCAAAAUGAAAGAUGCAGAAAUGCAGCAACUAUUGCAGGGAUUCCGUGAGACCAAGGACCUGUCUCCAUAGCAGGGCUGAGGAGGAAGAGGAAGAGGAGGGGUUGGUCUUGCUGUCUCAAGAGUA
rnacentral:lncRNA from 1 species